CCUACGGGAUGCAGCAGUGAGGAAUAUUGGUCAAUGGACGAGAGUCUGAACCAGCCAAGUAGCGUGAAGGAUGACUGCCCUAUGGGUUGUAACCUUCUUUUAUAAAGGAAUAAAACGAGGCACGUGUGCCUUUUUGCAUGUACUUUAUGAAUAAGGAUCGGCUAACUCCGUGCCAGCAGCCGCGGUAAUACGGAGGAUCCGAGCGUUAUCCGGAUUUAUUGGGUUUAAAGGGAGCGUAGAUGGGUUGUUAAGUCAGUUGUGAAAGUUUGCGGCUCAACCGUAAAAUUGCAAUUGAUACUGGCAGUCUUGAGGACAGUUGAGGUAGGCGGAAUUCGUGGUGUAGCGGUGAAAUGCUUAGAUAUCACGAAGAACCCCGAUUGCGAAGGCAGCUUACUAAACUGUGACUGACAUUGAUGCUCGAAAGUGUGGGUAUCAAACAGGAUUAGAUACCCCUGUAGUC
rnacentral:rRNA from 1 species